UACGGAGGGUGCAAGCGUUAAUCGGAAUUACUGGGCGUAAAGCGCACGUAGGCGGACGACUAAGUCGGAUGUGAAAUCCCUGGGCUUAACCUGGGAACUGCAUCCGAUACUGGUCGCCUAGAGUAUGGAAGAGGGAAGCGGAAUUCCAGGUGUAGCGGUGAAAUGCGUAGAUAUCUGGAGGAACAUCAGUGGCGAAGGCGGCUUCCUGGUCCAAUACUGACGCUGAGGUGCGAAAGCGUGGGGAGCAAACAGG
rnacentral:rRNA from 2 species